rnacentral:rRNA from 1 species
AUUGAACGCUGGCGGCAGGCUUAACACAUGCAAGUCGAGCGGAGCGAGGGUGCUUGCACCUUAGCUUAGCGGCGGACGGGUGAGUAAUGCUUAGGAAUCUGCCUAUUAGUGGGGGACCACAUUCCGAAAGGGAUGCUAAUACCGCAUACGCCCUACGGGGGAAAGCAGGGGAUCUUCGGACCUUGCGCUAAUAGAUGAGCCUAAGUCGGAUUAGCUAGUUGGUGGGGUAAAGGCAUACCAAGGCGACGAUCUGUAGCGGGUCUGAGAGGAUGAUCCGCCACACUGGGACUGAGACACGGCCCAGACUCCUACGGGAGGCAGCAGUGGGGAAUAUUGGACAAUGGGCGGAAGCCUGAUCCAGUCAUGCCGCGUGUGUGAAGAAGGCCUUUUGGUUGUAAAGCACUUUAAGCGAGGAGGAGGCUACUAGUAUUAAUACUACUGGAUAGUGGACGUUACUCGCAGAAUAAGCACCGGCUAACUCUGUGCCAGCAGCCGCCGUAACAC